GCCGCAUUGUACGGACGUGAGUUCAGGAACGGAUUGCCGGAACAGACGAUACGCCAGCUGUAGCCGGACGGAAAGGGCAUAAAAGACGCACCGCAUAUCGAGCAUAUCGCAAACGCACUUGUGCGAAGCGCGACGUGUAUGAAGUUUUCCAGUUCGAUCUGCCGGACGUAGCGAUCGUCGUCAACGUCGUCAACAUCGUCAGCGGGAAUCGACAUCGAUCGCGAUUGAUCGCAUAGCGGAAUUCUUCGGAAGCGAAAAUUCUUAGCGAGAAUUCGCAGGCAAGACACCAUCAGAAGCUACUGACGCGCCAGUGUAAAGAUUGGCCUUUUCUCUCUCUCCCUCUCUCUCUCUCUGUCUUUCUUUCUCUCUCUCUCUCUCUCUCUCUCUUGCGUGGUGCGAGCCGUGCAAGGUGUUAAAACUUUCUAAGAGUAUAUUCUACAAAAGCGGUAGAAAGAGAGAAAGAGAAAGAGAGAUUGCAGGACGUAAAAAGAUAGGGACGAACCGGGCAGGCGAAGUGUGAAACGGAGACCAAAUAAUAAAAGUCUACGAGAUGGCGUUUAUGAUGCCUGUGGUGAAAAAUGAAUGGGAUAUUUACAAGACUAAUAGGAGUCGACGAUCGUCCGAGUGCUCGAAUCCUCAGGCCUGUCGCAGUCGAAAGGUCUGGCGAACCGGCAGACACAGCCGUCUUGCGAAGUGCGGCGCGUCCGAUCGUCCUCCCUUCUCGGUUCUCAUGGUGUCCGAGUGUUCCAAGUCGGAGGGACCGUCGUUGUCGACCUCCCCCGGUUCCGACUUUCUUACCUCGCCGGCGCAUCGGUCCGUGCCGCUGACCUCGCGGCACUUCUCGAGGACGUCCUCAAGGGCGUCGCAGAGCUCUCUCCAGAGCCCGAGCAAGAGCACGAGCACGUCGCCGCCGAAGACCGGCAGUUCGAGCUCCCUCAACAAGUUCCAUAACCGAUUGGUGGAUAAGCUGAAGCGCUCGCUGAAGAAGGCGGAAGAUUGCGCGGAGGAUCAACGGAACCUAUCGUGAAACAGUCAAGGGGUUUUGGGCCGGCCACCCGCGUCCGGCUCGAAACCGAUCGAGAUCCGACGCACUUCGGCACCCGUUACCGUAUCCGAGUCGAGCAGCAACGUGGCGGCGCGCUCGUGUCCGGAUCCGCCUUCAGCUUGGUAAAGAAGAAAGAGAAAGGGGAAAGAAAGAGAUGAUAAUGACGGAGGAAACGAGAGCAACGAGGAACAUGUGCGAAUAUGCGAGAGAGUAUGAUCGAGAGAGAGAGAGAGGAAAAAAUGCGCGGAUGUCUGAAGGAGGAGAAGGGAGUUCGCACACGUUCAGCUCGAAAGCGAGCACGUUCAAGUUUGUUAGCCCAGCACAAGCAAGGAAGAGGAGGAGUUGGUUGAACGAUCCUCGAUCCGUUGUGUUCGGCUCGCUGGAUGUUGACAGUCGAUCAUGUCAAGAAUCCUCAUGGAUCGAGAGACCUCGAUCGAACGAUCGGACGAUGGCGCAGCAUUGGUGAGUGCUCGAGAGGACGAAGAGAUGCUUGGGACGUUCUUUUGGACAACAUUUUUAAGAUGAUAUGCGUUCCGCGACAACGCCGAUGUAUAAAAGCCAAAGCAAUAUCGAUGAGCCAAUAUAGCGCAAAGCUCUGAUUUUACGUUCUCCAAUUUGAGAAUCUGUUUAAGAUGGCGUGAGAAAGAGCAAAAGAAAAGGAGGAGCUGGGAGGACAGUGGGAUCGCAGCCGAUCGGUCGAUCGAUGUUGAUCGAGGAGAUUUCAAGGAAUCAUCGAAGAUCAUCGAAAGUCAAAGGACAAUCGUGAAGGAUGGAGGAGUCGGCGACGGAGGAAGUGAGGUUCGAGUUUGCGUGCCGGAAGCAGCAACGGCAGUUUCUCGCCUUUGCGGGAUCGGAUUUCGUCGUGCAGAGGAAGGAUACUGUGCGUAUAUGUGCGUGUAAUUCAGGGCCGCGUAAUAAAUGUGCGCAACUUGCUCACUUCGGGUCACCGAGCGUGCGAAGCCUAAGAGAUUUGAUUUAUUUUCACGUACAUAUUCCUAUUCAACGUCGCAAAUUUAUGUAUAUCAGUUGUAAUUAUACUUACGUAUCCUUGUAAGCGCGUUUGCUCUACGCGGAUCUCGUUUUCCGCGCUCCCCUUCAGGAAAUCUUCAUGGAAUACAAUCGCGGCGGAAUAUAAUACGAGGAACAUUUUUCGCGUAGAACUGAUGCGUCGAGUAAUGUGCUUUGAUAUCUGAAAAAUAGCUUCGGAGUACAUAAAAAUUCAAGUACCAUCGCGGAAAAGGUUUUCCCCUGGAAUGUUACUGUGGGUAAAUUUUCAUCCCUACUUUAAAUUCAGUACAAUUUUUAUUAUUAAA